rnacentral:rRNA from 1 species
GUGAACGCUGGCGGUAGGCCUAACACAUGCAAGUCGAACGGCAGCACAGUAAGAGCUUGCUCUUACGGGUGGCGAGUGGCGGACGGGUGGGGAAUACAUCGGAAUCUACUUUUUCGUGGGGGAUAACGUAGGGAAACUUACGCUAAUACCGCAUACGACCUACGGGUGAAAGCAGGGGAUCUUCGGACCUUGCGCGAUUGAAUGAGCCGAUGUCGGAUUAGCUAGUUGGCGGGGUAAAGGCCCACCAAGGCGACGAUCCGUAGCUGGUCUGAGAGGAUGAUCAGCCACACUGGAACUGAGACACGGUCCAGACUCCUACGGGAGGCAGCAGUGGGGAAUAUUGGACAAUGGGCGCAAGCCUGAUCCAGCCAUACCGCGUGGGUGAAGAAGGCCUUCGGGUUGUAAAGCCCUUUUGUUGGGAAAGAAAAGCAGCAGGUUAAUACCACGCUGUUCUGACGGUACCCAAAGAAUAAGCACCGGCUAACUUCGUG